AACGAACGCUGGCGGCAUGCCUAACACAUGCAAGUCGAACGAGACCUUCGGGUCUAGUGGCGCACGGGUGCGUAACGCGUGGGAACCUGCCCUUAGGUUCGGAAUAACUCCCCGAAAGGGGUGCUAAUACCGGAUAAUGUAAUCGGGCCAAAGAUUUAUCGCCUUUGGAUGGGCCCGCGUUGGAUUAGCUAGUUGGUAGGGUAAAAGCCUACCAAGGCGACGAUCCAUAGCUGGUCUGAGAGGAUGAUCAGCCACACUGGGACUGAGACACGGCCCAGACUCCUACGGGAGGCAGCAGUGGGGAAUAUUGGACAAUGGGCGAAAGCCUGAUCCAGCAAUGCCGCGUGAGUGAUGAAGGCCUUAGGGUUGUAAAGCUCUUUUACCCGGGAUGAUAAUGACAGUACCGGGAGAAUAAGCUCCGGCUAACUCCGUG
rnacentral:rRNA from 1 species